AAUUGAAGAGUUUGAUCAUGGCUCAGAUUGAACGCUGGCGGCAGGCCUAACACAUGCAAGUCGAACGGUAACAGAAAGCAGCUUGCUGCUUUGCUGACGAGUGGCGGACGGGUGAGUAAUGUCUGGGAAACUGCCUGAUGGAGGGGGAUAACUACUGGAAACGGUAGCUAAUACCGCAUAACGUCGCAAGACCAAAGAGGGGGACCUUCGGGCCUCUUGCCAUCGGAUGUGCCCAGAUGGGAUUAGCUUGUUGGUGGGGUAACGGCUCACCAAGGCGACGAUCCCUAGCUGGUCUGAGAGGAUGACCAGCCACACUGGAACUGAGACACGGUCCAGACUCCUACGGGAGGCAGCAGUGGGGAAUAUUGCACAAUGGGCGCAAGCCUGAUGCAGCCAUGCCGCGUGUAUGAAGAAGGCCUUCGGGUUGUAAAGUACUUUCAGCGGGGAGGAAGGGAGUAAAGUUAAUACCUUUGCUCAUUGACGUUACCCGCAGAAGAAGCACCGGCUAACUCCGUGCCAGCAGCCGCGGGUAAUACGGAGGGUGCAAGCGUUAAUCGGAAUUACUGGGCGUAAAGCGCACGCAGGCGGUUUGUUAAGUCAGAUGUGAAAUCCCCGGGCUCAACCUGGGAACUGCAUCUGAUACUGGCAAGCUUGAGUCUCGUAGAGGGGGGUAGAAUUCCAGGUGUAGCGGUGAAAUGCGUAGAGAUCUGGAGGAAUACCGGUGGCGAAGGCGGCCCCCUGGACGAAGACUGACGCUCAGGUGCGAAAGCGUGGGGAGCAAACAGGAUUAGAUACCCUGGUAGUCCACGCCGUAAACGAUGUCGACUUGGAGGUUGUGCCCUUGAGGCGUGGCUUCCGGAGCUAACGCGUUAAGUCGACCGCCUGGGGAGUACGGCCGCAAGGUUAAAACUCAAAUGAAUUGACGGGGGCCCGCACAAGCGGUGGAGCAUGUGGUUUAAUUCGAUGCAACGCGAAGAACCUUACCUGGUCUUGACAUCCACGGAAGUUUUCAGAGAUGAGAAUGUGCCUUCGGGAACCGUGAGACAGGUGCUGCAUGGCUGUCGUCAGCUCGUGUUGUGAAAUGUUGGGUUAAGUCCCGCAACGAGCGCAACCCUUAUCCUUUGUUGCCAGCGGUCCGGCCGGGAACUCAAAGGAGACUGCCAGUGAUAAACUGGAGGAAGGUGGGGAUGACGUCAAGUCAUCAUGGCCCUUACGACCAGGGCUACACACGUGCUACAAUGGCGCAUACAAAGAGAAGCGACCUCGCGAGAGCAAGCGGACCUCAUAAAGUGCGUCGUAGUCCGGAUUGGAGUCUGCAACUCGACUCCAUGAAGUCGGAAUCGCUAGUAAUCGUGGAUCAGAAUGCCACGGUGAAUACGUUCCCGGGCCUUGUACACCACCGCCCGUCACACCAUGGGAGUGGGUUGCAAAAGAAGUAGGUAGCUUAACCUUCGGGAGGGCGCUACCACUUUGUGAUUCAUGACUGGGGGUGAAGUCGUAACAAGGUAACCGUAGGGGAACCUGCGGUUGGAUCACCUCCUUA
rnacentral:rRNA from 1 species